rnacentral:rRNA from 1 species
CCUACGGGAGGCAGCAGUGAGGAAUAUUGGUCAAUGGCCGGAAGGCUGAACCAGCCAAGCCGCGUGAGGGAGGAAGGCGCAGAGCGUCGCAGACCUCUUUUGCCGGGGGACAAAAGGCCGGACUCGUCCGGUCCUGAGGGUACCCGGAGAAAAAGCAUCGGCUAACUCCGUGCCAGCGGCCGCGGUAAUACGGAGGAUGCGAGCGUUAUCCGGAUUCAUUGGGUUUAAAGGGUGCCCAGGCGGGCCUUUAAGCUGGGGGGGAAAUAGCGGGGCAAAACCCCGCCGAGCCGUGGGAACUGGGGGCCUUGGGGGCGGCGGAGGCAUGCGGAAUGCGCGGUGUAGCGGUGAAAUGCAUAG